GUUCAGGUGGUGUAAUGGUUAACACCCCUGCUAUAUAUAUAUGCAGAAGCCCUGGGUUCAAUCCCCAGUCUGGCCA